UGGGGAAUAUUGGACAAUGGGCGAAAGCCUGAUCCAGCCAUGCCGCGUGUGUGAAGAAGGUCUUCGGAUUGUAAAGCACUUUAAGUUGGGAGGAAGGGCAGUAAGCUAAUACCUUGCUGUUUUGACGUUACUGACAGAAUAAGCACCGGCUAACUCUGUGCCAG
rnacentral:rRNA from 1 species